rnacentral:rRNA from 1 species
UACGUAGGGGGCAAGCGUUGUCCGGAUUUAUUGGGCGUAAAGAGCGUGUAGGCGGCCAUGUAGGUCCGUUGUGAAAACUCGAGGCUCAACCUCGAGACGCCGAUGGAAACCAUGUGGCUAGAGUCCGGAAGAGGAGAGUGGAAAUUCCUGGUGUAGCGGUGAAAUGCGCAGAGUAUCAGGAAGAACACCCGUGGCUAAGGCGGCUCUCUAGUACGGUACUGACGCUGAGACGCGAAAGCGUGGGGAGCGAACAGG